rnacentral:sRNA from 1 species
UGUAGAUCUGGGCCGCGGCAGUGCCGGCAU